GACGAACGCUGGCGGCGUGCUUAACACAUGCAAGUCGAACGGAAAGGCCCUGCUUUUGUGGGGUGCUCGAGUGGCGAACGGGUGAGUAACACGUGAGUAACCUGCCCUUGACUUUGGGAUAACUUCAGGAAACUGGGGCUAAUACCGGAUAGGAGCUCCUGCUGCAUGGUGGGGGUUGGAAAGUUUCGGCGGUUGGGGAUGGACUCGCGGCUUAUCAGCUUGUUGGUGGGGUAGUGGCUUACCAAGGCUUCGACGGGUAGCCGGCCUGAGAGGGUGACCGGCCACAGUAGGACUGAGAUACGGCCCAGACUCCGACGGGAGGCAGCAGGGGGGAAUAUUGCACAAUGGGCGGAAGCCGGAUGCAGCAACGCCGCGUGCGGGAUGACGGCCUUCGGGUUGUAAGCCGCUUUCGCCUGUGACGAAGCGUGAGUGACGGUAAGGGGUAAAGAAGCACCGGCUAACUACGUG
rnacentral:rRNA from 1 species